GGCGAGCGAGGAGGCUCCCGCUGCAGCUCCGAGCACCUUCCCGACAUGCUGCAUGGCCUAGACGGCCAAGUGAGAUUGCGAAGAACUUGCCACUUGCACCAGUAAAGCUCCAUUGCACUAUGCCUGCUGAAGAUGCAAUUAAAAUCAAAGAAGGUGAAUCUGGGAGACAGCCUUGCAGAGACACCUUUGAAAGUUUCUUGUAUGUACCCAUGAGGACCGUCAUGGUAUCCACCCGCACCCUCUUGUUGGUUUUCUAUGCGGUGCCUCAGCCUCCUAUAGAUGACCGAAAGCUUGCAGUAGCAUCAUCAUCAUCUCUGUCUCCUUCCUCACAAGCUUCAUGUCGUAGAUGAGGUCGCAACCGAGGUUUGCAUCACGGAUGCCGUCGACGGUGGGCAUACAUGCUGUGGCGGAAGCUCAUUGCAUAUUGUAGGUUGAACUCAUGCUUUUGU